rnacentral:tRNA from 1 species
GGCGUGGUAGCUCAGCUGGUUAGAGCGCGUGAUUCAUAAUCCCGAGGUCGGGAGUUCAAGUCUCCCCCACGCUACGA